GAGAAAACACGACGCAGGGUAGAGAUUACGUGGCUAUUCAGGUGUUCAGAAAGUGGCGUCAGGACCUGACACUGAACAGACAGGCGCUCGUUCAUUUCACUCUCCGAUACAAGCUGGACCCAAGCCAGGUGCUGGAGAAGGCGAGGCACAGGACGCCCAGAUGCUCCCAAAGAGCUUCCAGCCUGGGGAAGCCAGACCAGUGCAUUUUGACAAGGAAAGUCUAGUUCAAGAGCACAAACUGGGGCUGGAGUACAGCGGAGAGGGCGUUUGCCUUCCAUGCGGCCAACCAAGGUUUGAGCCUCAGCAUCCCAUAGGGUCCCUGGAGUACCACCAGAAGUAAUUCCUGAGUGCAGAGCCAGGAAUAAGCCCUGAGCAUCGCUGGGCGUGACCCAGAAAGCAAAAAAGAAAACAAAAAAAGAACCCAAAAAUCACAAGGCUUACAUCCCUGCUCUGUGGCUCUGAGAACAUGAACUUCUCUGUGCCCAACUCUGAGAGAACUGAGGAGCGCCCUGAGCAUCAGCGCGGUUUGUGUCCAUCCUGAGGUAGUCCAGGAACCUGUGGCCAGUGGCCGGUGUGAAGUACUCAAUAUCACUAGCCCUGUUAGUAGUAUAUGGGCCAACUUGCAAAAGAUGAGGGGGUCGACACAUGACAAACAAUGGUCUAGGCUUGUACCCCACGCAGGCUUUGAGCUGACGGACACAGUGGAGGGCCUGUGGGCAUGACAGCGUCUCAGCAGCAGUCACCACUCUGUGAGGUUACUUAGGGGAUGGAAAGACGUUUCCAAGGAACCUCUGUUCUCUCGGGCGGGAGCACCAUCCAUGAACACAAGGGUAAAAACCACAGCAGCGCCUCAGACUCUGGGACUUAGGGGCAGGUACAUGGACAUCCUGGGAAAUCAGCUUUCAGUCAUCAGUAGUCCCAGCCCCUGGCAACCUUCUGCAGACCUGCUGGGUACUAGGAGAGGAAGAGAGGGGCCCUCAGCUGAGGGGGCAGUGGAAACCAGGAUGGGGCUGGAUCAAGGACUGGGAUUGAGGAGACCCACGUGCUGUGGUCAUUCCCGCGACAUCUCUACAGAACAACCAGGAGAACCACAAGGGCUAGUUUUUGGUUUUGGGCCCCACCUGGCGAUACUCAGAAAGACUCCUGGAGAGGGAAGCAUAUGGGGUGCUGAGGAUCGGACCCAAGGUUUCCUGCAUUCAGCGUCCAACACCACACCUCCCACCAGGGUGGCCCUGGCGACCUCGCUUCCCCUCCCUGCCAUGGAGUGGUAUACUACUGUUUUCAGGGAUCUGUGAGGAAAACAUCCCCUAAACAUGAGAUUUCUGAAGAAUCAUCACAGCCCAAAGGGGAGACCAUAAGGCCAGUGUGGGGGCUGAUGGAUAAGUGCUACCCUCGGACUGCUCAGG